rnacentral:rRNA from 1 species
GGAUGAACGCUGGCGGCGUGCCUAAUACAUGCAAGUCGAACGAGGUGCUUGAGUAGCAAUACGAGAGUAUCCUAGUGGCGAACGGGUGAGUAACGCGUUGGUGACCUACCCCAAAGUGUGGGAUAACAGUUCGAAAGAACUGCUAAUACCGCAUGUGGUUAUCGGAUUUAGAAACUGAUAACUAAAGGAGCAAUUCGCUUUGGGAGGGACCUGCGUCCCAUCAGCUAGUUGGUGAGGUAAUGGCUCACCAAGGCUACGACGGGUAGGGGACCUGAGAGGGUGACCCCCCACAAUGGAACUGAAACACGGUCCAUACACCUACGGGUGGCAGCAGUAGGGAAUAUUGCACAAUGGGCGAAAGCCUGAUGCAGCAACGCCGCGUGUGCGAUGAAGGCCUUCGGGUCGUAAAGCACUUUUCUGAGAGAUGAGCAAGGACAGUAUCUCAGGAAUAAGUCUC